GACCAGCUUCCUCACCUCUAGCCUCCUAACACCACACAGAUGGGCCGUAUAUGAGCACAUCUGCCAGGGCUGUCAAAAUGUAAACACACUCAGCUGGUAGCAGAUGUUUUCCAAGAAAGAUCACUACACUGGAGUUGUUCUGCUGUGGAUUCCAUUCUCUCUGGCCCUGGGUCAACCACAAUGUGAAAGCAGAUCAUCAGGAGGUCAAUAGUGGCCUCAUGCUACGUCACAGUAACUACGUCGUUCACCUCACUUCACCUUAUCAUGCAUAGUCUCACGUCAUCACAAGAAGGGAAAGAACCGACCGGGGAGCUACAAGCAGUACCUGCAGCCGCAGGGAGCCACACCCUCCUCUCCCCAGGUGAGAUUUACAAGCCUCUCCUUGUAAAUCCUCCAGGUUCUCUCAACCCAGCUCUGCACUCAGAGCCACAUCAGUGAAGCCUUUAGAAUCCUUUCUGUCAAGGGGAGCUGUUGAACCACACAACUUGAAUUUGUGUGAAAUACCCCAAUAGGAGCACACCGGGGAAGCCUCUGCCUGACCAAACAAAGGCAUUUCUACCCCACUUAGCAGCCAGAGUCUGCUCUAGGUUAAUCGCUCUGCUUACUGCAGGGGGCUCAUUUCCCAGGGCCUCUAAGAGCCCUAGCUUCUCCCCAAAGUGUGAAGCAUUGGGCACAUUUCCCUAGGUCUAGACAGAGCUCCGAAAUGCCAUCUUGAAGUUGCUUCAACAGCACCCCCCACCACCCCACCUUUUUUUAAGCGCAUUGACUGGCAUCUCUCCUAGCUUAAGCUUGCAUACAAGUAGAAAAUUCUGAUUUCUUGUUUCAUGCGUGGGUAGCUGUUUAUUGUUAUCAUUUGCUGGUCCGCUAAGCUCUUCGAUGGCUUUAGAAGGCAAGUUAAGCACCGCCAGUUCACAGCUGAGUACCUCGGCUGGCACGGAGCCGCGCUGGAUGCGAGCUUAUUUGGAAGUCUGGUGUUUGUUUGUGCUCUUACUUCUGCUUCGAAAAACGGCAAUUAAUCAAGACAUCUGACAAGUCCUCCGGGAUUGCUUUAUGACAUCUAGCUGCCCAGAACCACCUGUGCCCCCGCCACCCCAAAGGGAGCACCGUUCACUAAUAUUGCGGGAGAUGGGUCAUGAUGAAGAUCCUUGUGGUGACGCCACUUGUAACUGUUGUUUCUUCCUAAACAUACAUACGCUGUGCCUGAUUUUUUUGUGACAAAUAGCCACCCGUUAACUAGAUAUUUAAGGUGAAGUCCUUGACCAUUAGGAAGAGUAACAAUGAUAAUAAUUAAUAAGUGCUGUUUAUUCAUUUUUCUUCUUUAAUCUUUAUAGUAACUGUGACAGGUACAACUACUCUAGUUUUAUUAAUGAGAAAGUGAAGCACAGGGAGUUAAAAUACAGCUGGGAAGAGUAUAAUGUUAUGGGUAGAAUUUUUUCCUUGCUAUUAUUUCUACCUUUAUCUCCCAUACAAAGCAAUGUGUUCAUCAUUAUAGGAUGUGAUUUGAGAAAAAUAAACUUCCAGUCUCUGGCUCUACCCGCAAACUGCAGUUUAGUAUUGUUAGCAUGUGAGGAAAAACAUCAUGUUAGAAACUGCACCUUUGAAGGAGAGACACCAAAUGAGGGAAGAGGAGGAUACCUUGCCCUCCAGAAGAGAGAAAAUUCCUGCUGGGUUAGAUGUCUUUGUAUGUGUGGUGGUACCAGAAAUAAAGAAAAAAAAAAAAAUGAUGAAAGAGGUCCUGAAGGGAGCAUCUUGCUUUCUGUGAGCAGCCUCAGGAAAUGUUAAUCAUUAACAAUCUGUGCUCUACUUGGAACCCUGGAUAGCCUACGGGAGAUUCCCACAUGAUGGGUGCCAGGGAAAGAUGACUCUGGAAGUUAAGUGUGAAUGGGUAGAUGAAUGGGUUUUUGUGACCAAGAUGAAUAUUCGAUGCUCAUUAUGUAGAGAACUAGUGAUGAUGAUCUGGAGGGAAAGUCAAUUUUAACCUGGCAAAAUUGAGUUUGUGGUGACAGCAGGGCAUGGAGCAUGAGACAUCUGGAAAACAAAUCAGAAACAGUACAAAGGAGGGGAGAUCUGAAGUAGGGGCCGGACUUAAGAGUUGAGCGUCAAGAUGUGACAUUCCAAAGGCAUUUAAUAUAAGCAGCUGUUAUGUUCCCCACUCAUUUUUAUAUUCCCAAUUCCUUAAACAAUCCUUAGUAUAUUACUUAUUGGACUCACUGGACCAAUGUAUAAAAAGAAUAAAGAGGGAAAGAAACCAGAUAAAAGGGGAGGAAAAACCAAGAGCAUAACCUGCCAAAAAAUGGAAAGGAUUGAAAUCUCCUUGAAUAUCAGGAUAAUCUUUAAAUUGAAGGUAUAGAUUAUUCUAGAGGUUUUAAACCUGGCUCUAUAUUCAUACCACUUG